AUCCCUACAGGAGUCCCACAGAGACCAUCAGAUGUCAUAAGGGCUCCAUUUCCACAGUGCAUGGAAACAAAGCCUGAAGACCAUCUUCUGGAGUUGGCUAUUACCCAACUCUGAAUGAAGAAUGCGGCAGAAAGACAGGGAGAAACUAUCAAUGUUACUCAUGCUAGUUCUUGGUGGGAAAGAAUGAAACACCCCAAACUCUCUUCAUCAGCCCCAGACAUCUGGAAUGCCUACUGAAGCAUGAGGAGAAAUUAGUGCCAUAAGAAUUUGUUUUGUGGAGAAAAAUCCCAAUGUCCCUCGGCAGAGAUGUGCUCACAGGAAGCCAUUCAUGGGAAAGAGCAGACCCAGAUGUUCCUUCCAAAACAUGUUGACAAGCUUCAACAGAGCCCCCGAGCAAGGGAGGUGACAACAAUCCAUUGGGCAUGCCAAACCAAUGACACUCACAGCCUGGACAUCAGUAAUAAACAGAAUGAUACCAUAAUCAUAAUAUACAUUAUGUUUUAGAAGAGGAUAUGAGUGCAGAUCAGGGAAUUGCCAUCACAAAAUAACAGUCUUGAACCAGAGCUUGGGAAACCCUGCCCACUUUAAUGUGCUGCUUCCUCUAUAUAACUCUUUCCCAGAAUUAUUCAG